rnacentral:rRNA from 1 species
UUGACCUCAAAUCAGGUAGGACUACCCGCUGAACUUAAGCAUAUCAAUAAGCGGAGGAAAAGAAACUAACAAGGAUUCCCCUAGUAACUGCGAGUGAAGCGGGAAAAGCUCAAAUUUAAAAUCUGGCGGUCUUGCAGCCGUCCGAGUUGUAAUCUGGAGAAGCGUCUAUCCGCGUCGGACCGUGUACAAGUCUUCUGGAAGGGAGCGUCAUAGAGGGUGAGAAUCCCGUCUUUGACACGGACUACCGAUGCUUUUGUGAUGCGCUCUCGAAGAGUCGAGUUGUUUGGGAAUGCAGCUCAAAAUGGGUGGUAAAUUCCAUCUAAAGCUAAAUAUUGGUGAGAGACCGAUAGCGAACAAGUACCGUGAGGGAAAGAUGAAAAGCACUUUGGAAAGAGAGUUAAACAGUACGUGAAAUUGUUGAAAGGGAAACGUUUGAAGUCAGUCGCGUCGGCCGAGACUCAGCCUUGCUUUCCGCUCGGUGCACUUCUCGGUUGACGGGUCAGCAUCAAUUUUGACCGCCGGAUAAAGGUCGGGGGAACGUGGCAUCUCUCGGGAUGUGUUAUAGCCCUCGAUUCGCAUACGGCGAUUGGGAUUGAGGAACUCAGCGCGCCUUUAUGGUCGGGGUAUCAACCCACGUAACGCGCUCAGGAUGCUGCAUA